rnacentral:rRNA from 1 species
UAAGCGGAGGAAAAGAAACUAACAAGGAUUCCCCUAGUAACUGCGAGUGAAGCGGGAAAAGCUCAAAUUUAAAAUCUGGUGGUCUUUGGCCAUCCGAGUUGUAAUUUAGAGAAGCGUCUUCCGCGCUGGACCGUGCACAAGUCUCCUGGAAUGGAGCGUCAUAGAGGGUGAGAAUCCCGUCUUUGGCAUGGAAUCCCAGGGCUUCUGUGAUGCGCUCUCGACGAGUCGAGUUGUUUGGGAAUGCAGCUCAAAAUGGGUGGUGAACUCCAUCUAAAGCUAAAUAUUGGCGAGAGACCGAUAGCGAACAAGUACCGUGAGGGAAAGAUGAAAAGCACUUUGGAAAGAGAGUGAAACAGUACGUGAAAUUGUUGAAAGGGAAACGCUUGAAGUCAGUCGCGUCGACCGAGACUCAGCCUUGCCUCGGCUUGGUGUACUUCUCGGCUGACGGGUCAGCAUCGAUUUCGAUCCUCGGAUAAUGGCAAGGGAAAGGUAGCACCUUUUUAGGUGUGUUAUAGUCCUCUGUCGCAUGCGAGGGUCGGGAUCGAGGAACUCAGCACGCACCUCAGGGUGUCGGGGCCUUGGCCCACGUUUACGUGCUUAGGAUGCUGGCGUAAUGGCUUUAAACGACC